CGAGAGAUUUUGCUCUACGCGCGCCGCAGAGUACAAAAGGCGGGUAAUCAUAAUCCUGGGGUCGGGGGUUCGAGUCCCUCUCCCGCUACCA
rnacentral:tRNA from 1 species